GACUUCGAUAUUCGACGUCAUAAACACGAUCAACUUUGGUGUUUAUGACGUCGAUAUUCGACGUGAUAAACACGAUCAACUUUGGUGUUCAUGACGUCGAUAUUCGACGUCAUAAACACGAUCAACUUUGGUGUUUAUGACGUCGAUAUUCGACGUC
rnacentral:miRNA from 1 species